rnacentral:rRNA from 1 species
AACUCAUGGCUGGCAGGCCUAACACAUGCAAGUCGAGCGCGCCCUUCGGGGUGAGCGGCGGACGGGUUAGUAACGCGUGGGAAUAUACCCGACACUAAGGAAUAGCCUCUGGAAACGGAGAGUAAUACCUUAUACGCCCUUCGGGGGAAAGAUUUAUCGGUGACGGAUUAGCCCGCGUUAGAUUAGAUAGUUGGUGGGGUAAUGGCCUACCAAGUCUACGAUCUAUAGCUGGUUUUAGAGGAUGAUCAGCAACACUGGGACUGGGACACGGCCCAGACUCCUACGGGAGGCAGCAGUGGGGAAUCUUGGACAAUGGGCGCAAGCCUGAUCCAGCCAUGCCGCGUGAGUGAUGAAGGCCUUAGGGUCGUAAAGCUCUUUCGCCAGAGAUGAUAAUGACAGUAUCUGGUAAAGAAACCCCGGCUAACUCCGUGCCAGCAGCCGCGGUAAUACGGAGGGGGUUAGCGUUGUUCGGAAUUACUGGGCGUAAAGCGCGCGUAGGCGGAUUAGUAAGUUAGAGGUGAAAUCCCGGGGCUCAACCCCGGAACUGCCUUUAAUACUGCUAGUCUUGAGUUCGAGAGAGGUGAGUGGAAUUCCGAGUGUAGAGGUGAAAUUCGUAGAUAUUCGGAGGAACACCAGUGGCGAAGGCGGCUCACUGGGCUCGAUACUGACGCUGAGGUGCGAAAGUGUGGGGAGUAAACAGGAUUAGAUACCCUGGUAGUCCACACCGUAAACGAUGAAUGCCAGUCGUCGGGUAGCAUGCUAUUCGGUGACACACCUAACGGAUUAAGCAUUCCGCCUGGGGAGUACGGUCGCAAGAUUAAAACUCAAUGAUUGACGG